GACGAACGCUGGCGGCGUGCCUAAUACAUGCAAGUCGAGCGGACUUUCAAGAAGCUUGCUUUUUGAAAGUUAGCGGCGGACGGGUGAGUAACACGUGGGCAACCUGCCUGUAAGACGGGGAUAACUCCGGGAAACCGGGGCUAAUACCGGAUAAUAUCUUUCUUCGCAUGAAGGAAGGUUGAAAGGCGGCGCAAGCUGCCGCUUGCAGAUGGGCCCGCGGCGCAUUAGCUAGUUGGUGAGGUAACGGCUCACCAAGGCGACGAUGCGUAGCCGAGCUGGGAGGGGGAUCGGCCACGCUGGGACGGAGCAGCGGCCAAGACUCCUACGGGAGGCAGCAGUAGCGAAUCGUCCGCAAUGGACGAAAGUCUGACGGAGCAACGCCGCGUGAGCGAAGAAGGUCUUCGGAUCGUAAAGCUCUGUUGUCAGGGAAGAACAAGUACCGUUCGAAUAGGGCGGUACCUUGACGGUACCUGACCAGAAAGCCACGGCUAACUACGUGCCAGCAGCCGCCGUAA
rnacentral:rRNA from 1 species